rnacentral:rRNA from 1 species
UACGUAGGGGGCUAGCGUUGUCCGGAAUCAUUGGGCGUAAAGAGCGUGUAGGCGGUCCGGUAAGUCCGCUGUGAAAGCCCGGGGCUCAACCCCGGGAGGCGGGUGGAUACUGUCAAGCUCGAGUCCGGAAGAGGAGUGUGGAAUUCCUGGUGUAGCGGUGAAAUGCGCAGAUAUCAGGAGGAACACCAAUGGCGAAGGCAGCACUCUGGGACGUGACUGACGCUGAGACGCGAAAGCGUGGGGAGCAAACAGG